rnacentral:rRNA from 1 species
GAUGAACGCUGGCGGCGUGCCUAAUACAUGCAAGUCGAGCGAACAGACGAGGAGCUUGCUCCUCUGACGUUAGCGGCGGACGGGUGAGUAACACGUGGAUAACCUACCUAUAAGACUGGGAUAACUUCGGGAAACCGGAGCUAAUACCGGAUAAUAUAUUGAACCGCAUGGUUCAAUAGUGAAAGACGGUUUUGCUGUCACUUAUAGAUGGGUCCGCGCCGCAUUAGCUAGUUGGUGAGGUAACGGCUUACCAAGGCGAAGAUACGUAGCCGGCCUGAGAGGAGGAUAGGCGAAAUUGGGAAUGGGACACGGAGCAAAAUAGUACGGGAGGCAGCAGUGGGGAAUAGUGAGAAAUGGGAGAAAGCCAGACGAAGAAAGGCCGCGUGAAUGAUGAAGGUCUUAGGAUUGUAAAAGUAUUUCAAAGGGGACGAUAAUGACGGUACGCGGAGAAGAAGCCCCGGAUAACUGAGU